CCUACGGGAGGCAGCAGUGGGGAAUAUUGGACAAUGGGCGCAAGCCUGAUCCAGCCAUGCCGCGUGAGUGAUGAAGGCCCUAGGGUUGUAAAGCUCUUUCGGCGGGGAAGAUAAUGACGGUACCCGCAGAAGAAGCCCCGGCAAACUUCGUGCCAGCAGCCGCGGUAAUACGAAGGGGGCUAGCGUUGCUCGGAAUUACUGGGCGUAAAGCGCACGUAGGCGGAUUGCUAAGUCGGGGGUGAAAUCCCGGAGCUCAACUCCGGAACUGCCUUCGAUACUGGCGAUCUCGAGUCCGGGAGAGGUGAGUGGAACUCCGAGUGUAGAGGUGAAAUUCGUAGAUAUUCGGAAGAACACCAGUGGCGAAGGCGGCUCACUGGCCCGGUACUGACGCUGAGGUGCGAAAGCGUGGGGAGCAAACAGGAUUAGAUACCCUUGUAGUC
rnacentral:rRNA from 1 species